GGACACCCCACACACCCCACACCGUGAGCUCUGCCCGGACACCCCACACACCCCACACCGUGAGCUCUGCCCGGCUGCGCUGCCCGGACACCCCACACACCCCACACCGUGAGCUCUGCCCGGCUGCGCUGCCCGGACACCCCACACGUGUUGAGGUGGCGUUACCUCAAUACAGCAGUGAACACGGUUCCAGUCUAUCCAUCCAUAUUUUCCAAGAUAGCGAAAAACGAGAGGGUGCAGAAGAGAACCACAAAACUGAUCUGAAGGCUGAAGGUGAUGCCAGGCAGCAAGAGUGUUAAAAUAUUUAGUUCCUCAAAGAGACAGCACGGAAGGCAGCUUAUGAAAAAGAGAACAAGGUACUGGUAUAUCACAUCAGUGGGGUUGGCAUUAGAGAGCCAGGUGGUUUUAAGUAUUAACACACAGGUUUAGCAGUGGUGGUUUCCAUAGCAUUGUUAUGAGCACAACAGUCAAUAUCAGCACACUCAUCUGAUGUGUUUGUCUCUCUCACCUCAAGUGUCAGAUACUCCAGCUCUUCCCUACACAGAGGCCAAAGCCCUCAGCUUCGCUACAUGCAAUCUCUACAAUAUAAUUGCACAUGAUUAAAUACAAAAAUGAAUCCUCCUUACACCCAAAAAGGAAAUGUAGAGACAAUCCAAAAUACAUUUAUAAAUAACAGUAAGGGUUUGCCAUGCAAACUGAUUUUCAUAUGCAAUUCAUAAUGAAAAACUAAAUCUGAAUUUAACUGCAAAAUAAUUAUUACAGUGCCAGAGUAUUCUAGAACAUUUUCUACCCUAUGGGAGCGUUUCACAGAGUGUCUUCCAAUGUGUCUAUAAGGGGCACAAAAGAGAAUCCAUGUGUAUGUUCAGAAAAAAGUGGCAGGCUGACACACAAGCAGCACAGUCUCUGGAGAACAUUGGCCAUGACUGCCUUGUUUGGUGUCAGAGCAGAAGAACUGGAGACAAAGCUCUCAGGGUGACAACAGCUGGGCCAUUAGUGAUCUUACAUUUCUUUCACUGCCCCUUUCAGCAGCUCUGCAGCCGAAGGCUGGUCCCAAAACAAGGGGAGGGUGCUGUGUGCACCUCAGCCAGCAGCACACAGUGUCUUUCCUCCAACGGACAACCCUCUUAAUCACAUUCCCUUCCCUCCAUUUUGCCAGUGUGCUGAGGCCUGUGUCUGGAAAGAAAGGAAUUUUCUCUCUCCCAGAGGAAAUGUCUUAGUUCUGGCAGCCUUUUAUGAUUUUGUGUGUCUCUGAAAUCCGAGACAAGAAACUGAGCUAUGAUUUCUAUUGUGGGGUCUAUUCCUCAGGUCCAGUGCUGGCUCUCUCUUCCUCUAGAUGUGAACCCAGAAGUUUUGAAAUAGUAUUUAUAGUCAAUUGGAUUUAGGUCCUGCUGUUUCACAGGAAAGCUGAGAAUCAAAGUAUUUUUAACUAGGGCUUGAUUUUAGUGCUUCUCUAUUUCUCUUAAUAGAGCAAUGCUUUUGACACCAGCAAAUAAAGGUUUUUGCUCUCAUCAGUAGCUUCCUUUUGGGAAGAAGGUAAGGCCACAGCUGUUGUUCUACUUUUUCUGCCCUCUGCUCCUUCCACUCAUUUGUUCACAUGAUUUAUCCAUUCCUAGCCACUGAAAUUCUUCAGUUCUUCCUCCUUCUUUCUUCUCACAAAGGUUAUGGCUGUGCUCAGCCACACACUUAUCAUGCAAGCUUCUAGUAGCCAUUUUUUUUUUUUUAAACAGGAAUCAGACCACACAAAUAUAAUGGCAGCAGUGUUCACUGUAAUGCUGGGGGAUGGAGAAAUUAGAAAUCAGACUGCUCCCUUUUUCGGCUCAGCUUCAGUGUUGUUUAUGUUAGUUCAGGUUUCUCAUGUUAGCCUACUAUUCCAAUUCUUGGGUUUGGAGGGCUCCUUCAAAGAAGGUAAUUUUGUAAAUUUUAGAGGCUUCCUUUCAAUGCAGCUGCUUUAUCCUAUCAGAUUCAUUCUCAUGCAACAUGAGAAUUUUCUAGCAAAUUAUUAAUUUACUGGUUUUUAAGGUAGUAGAAUCAACACCACCUUAUAUUCAAGAGCUUUGUGACCGUCAGAUUUGCAGUGUCUAAGAAAGUCUAAGUUCUGACACAGGUUUUUGGUCUGUUAAACUACAUUCAUAAUGUCUCUCCAGGCUGCAGUUCCCUAAUGCCUCAGCCUGUGACACCCCCCAGCAGGUGUGCACACAGGGAUUCAGCUCGGCCUGUUUCCUCUACGGAGCUGGUCACAGCUCUACAGGGCAAAACAAGAGUGAAGCUAAAGACUUUCAAUCCCCACCUACAUCACGGUACUUCAGGAUCGCUCCAUGCACCAGCUGAGGUCUGGCAGUUGCUGUUCACAGCUGAUUGUGUGCAGAGCCUCAGUCAUUGCAGUGAUGCCACAUAGGAACUCCAUGUGCUUGCAAUGCUGUGUCUCUUACCAUACUUGUCUGUAAACAGCUCCCACAGGUGUAGAUGCAACUUUGUAGAAGUGUUAAUAGGAUAAAUAGUAAAAAAUAAUAAUCAGUGACAUCGACUAGACUAUUCCAAAUGCCACUACAUUACAGUUGCUUCCAUUAAUUUGUGCUUCCCCAUGCUCUUUUCUGUCUACUGUUUUCCUGCUCCAUUUCAGUUGUUCUUCCUGAUACUCUGCUUCCAUGCUGUCUACCUAUUCCCAACUCCUUCCAUUACAUACUUUUAAAAAAAGUGGCCUGAAAGGGUCCUGGAUGUCAGGUCUGUCUUGCACCAGCAGCUCAGAGACCCCAACAUUCACAGAGGCUGCUUCCCUGUGUGCUGCUGGGGGACACUCCUGGGAGGCACAGGGAGGUAGGAUGGCAAAUGAGCCCAGCCACCAUAGGAACUGCUGUUAUAAAGAGAAGGGGGGAGGGACUCAUUCUGCAAACAUAUACUUACACCUGAAUGAUUUUCUGUUCAAGUAGUACUUUUUAGCCAGAAUCCACACAGCUUCAUCACACAAAAUCAGAUGCUGCUUACAAAACAAAGGAAAAGGGAAGCAGUACGUCCUACCUCAUGAGAGAACCUGGACUGACAAUGAACACCGAAGGUUAAAGCAAUUUUAAGUCAGAGUCUGUGCAGGUGUAAUGAUCCAUGACCAGAUGUACAGGCACUGCUCAAGAGACAGCCAACUGCAUCCUACAGCAGGAGUUAUGCCAGUAGUCUACAGUCACAGGAAUGGAGUGAGAGGAAGCUGUAAGAGAAGCUGAAUAGUGUAUUGCACCUCCCAGUAAUGUUGGUAAUCUGCAGCAUGGGCACAUCUCUGAACUCCUAAGGAGACAGUGACAUUUGAAAUAUUGAUAAGGACUACUGAUCGGAAAAUUUCUAUUCAUCCUACAUCCUGUUUCACUUUCAGCCACAGGGAAUCUUUUAAGGAACGUAACAGACAGUACAUAAAAAGUUACUCUUGGUUACAGGACACAACAACAAGUAACACAAUUUAGUGAAAAAUGUAGGGUGGAAAUUUUCAUGCACUUCAUGUAGCUCCUGCUUGAAAUCCAAGAAACCACAGGACAUCCAGCAGAUCAAAAUACACCUCCUUGGCAGAAAACAGCUGUUAUUUCUGAGGGCAGCUCAGCUGGCAGAGCUGGAAUGAGCUGUAGGCAUACAGCAACCUCUUGUGGCAAAUCCAGCACACACAGAGUAAUGAACAACCUUUGAAACUGCUUAAGCUACUCUUGAUACAAGUCAAACCUCUAUAAAAUUGCGUUAGCAAAUGACUGGGGAGUUGGAGUCUGUUACCUGGAGACUCAGCAAUACUCAGACUUCAGAGCUUUAAUAGUCCUUCUGUUUGAUUCAAGAUGAAUUAAACAUCGGUAGCCUGUUAUAAAUGAAGUGGCAGACUGAAAUUUCUGUUAAUAAAAUUCUCCAGAAGCUUUUCAUUAAAGCAGAGCAAGCGUGGCAUAACGGCCAGAAGUAGAAUCUGUGGCCAGGUAUGACCAGAAGAAUAAACAUGCUGUUAUGUUGAAUCAUUGUUCUCUGCACGGUUUUGCUGAAUAAAACUAUGACUGGUUUCAGCAGGGACAUCAAAGUGCCUUUAAUGUUUGCAGGAACUGAGCAAGACUGAGAACAGUUAAGAGUACAGGCCUGGCUCAAUAGUGUGUUCUGCAGAGUGCUGGCAGAGCAGUAGCCCUUCAGCUGACAGGGGGGAGGACAAGAAAGUGUCAGACAGAGCUAUAGGCCUGAGGGGGAAAAAAAAGGCAUCCCAGUAUGUGCACAGAAUCCAGGACACCUACCUCUUCAAAAGGAUGUAACUCACUAGUUGUGCAGAAACAUGAAGUGUACGUUCCUCCAACCACCUGAGCAGCUGCAAAUGCCUGUCCCACGCAGGCUGAGGAGGGGAGAGCAGUGAGAAGGUGCUGGAAGGGAACAGGAAGAAUGGCAGUAUGUGGGAAAAGGGUCAUCAACAACAGUGAGGCUUUCCAAACAAAGAGGUGCUUUCCUGGGAACCUGGUGUGGGAGUUGUGCAUCACAGAAACAAUUACAAUAUGAGUAUUGUAGAUGACACUUAUUAGACCAAUGAACUAUUUUAUUUUUUUUACACUGUAGAAAUAUACUCCUCCACUGCUGGACCUAAGGGUGAGCUCAAGAAAUGACUGAGCUUAUGUAUGCACCACUCACCAGAACUCUGGGGGCUUGUAUGCCAGGCAGGAUUUACUGUGCUUGAAAUGAUUUGCAAAUCUGUGCAUACCACUUAGAGAGGAACAGGCUGAACAAGUACAUCCUGAAAAGGAUAGAGGCUUUAAACAGCAGCUAAUAUUUGUUUAUUAAAAUUAAGUCUUGUGCUAUAGCUCUCUUUUGUAUUGCAACUCCCCAGACUUGCCAUGUGUAAUUUCUUUGCCAUUUCAUCUGCUGCAGCUUCACACAGGAGUCAGAAACCACAUCCUCUCAGUUCUGGCCUCAGUCUGUGCACUGAGCAGCUCCUGCCAGACCAGUGACAAGGUACACACUCCCAAAUUCCCAAGCAGCUCCAUCAAGCACCACCUAACCUGGGAGUGGCAAGUGCUUAAGGGC